UGUAGUGUAGCUCAGUGACAGAGCACAUACUUAUCAUGUGUGAGGCCCAGAGUUCAAUCCCCAGCACCAAAA
rnacentral:tRNA from 1 species